CCCUUAGAUGUUCUGGGCUGCACGCGUGCUACAAUGGCGCUUGCAACAAGUCUUGCCAACCCGAUAGGGUGAGCGGAUCUUUGAAGAGGCGUCGUGAUCGGGACAGUUGAUUGCAAUUAUUCGACUCGAACGAGGAAUUCCUUGUAAUCGCGAUUCAUCAUAUCGCGCUGAAUACGUCCCUGCCCUUUGUACACACCGCCCGUCGCUCCUACCGAUUGAGCGAUCCGGUGAGUGUUUUGGACUGGCGUCAGAAGCGGUUCGCUCCUGACACUACGAAAUUUUGUAAACCUUAUCGCUUAGAGGAAGGAAAAGUCGUAACA
rnacentral:rRNA from 1 species